rnacentral:rRNA from 1 species
UACGUAUGGACCGAGCGUUGUCCGGAAUCAUUGGGCGUAAAGGGUACGUAGGCGGCCUAGUAAGUUAGAAGUGAAAUAAUAUAGCUCAACUAUAUAAAGCUUUUAAAACUGCUAGGCUUGAGAGAUGGAAGGGAAAGUGGAAUUCCUAGUGUAGCGGUGAAAUGCGCAGAUAUUAGGAAGAAUACCGGUGGCGAAGGCGACUUUCUGGUCAUCAUCUGACGCUGAGGUACGAAAGCGUGGGUAGCAAACAGG